rnacentral:rRNA from 1 species
AACGAACGCUGGCGGCAUGCCUAACACAUGCAAGUCGAACGUGACCUUCGGGUCUAGUGGCGCACGGGUGCGUAACGCGUGGGAAUCUGCCCUUCGGUUGGGAAUAACUGAGAGAAAUUUCAGCUAAUACCUUAUAGUGUCUUCGGACCAAAGAUUUAUCGCCGAGGGAUGAGCCCGCGUAGGAUUAGGUAGUUGGUGGGGUAAUGGCCUACCAAGCCGACGAUCCUUAGCUGGUCUGAGAGGAUGAUCAGCCACACUGGGACUGAGACACGGCCCAGACUCCUACGGGAGGCAGCAGUGGGAAAUAUUGGACAAUGGGCGAAGGCCUGACCAGCAAUGCCGCGUGAGUGAUGAAGGCCUUAGGGUUGUAAAGCUCUUUUACCCGGGAUGAUAAUGACAGUACCGGGAGAAUAAGCUCCGGCUAACUCCGUG